UCAGCUCUCUUUGCCUUACGGCUUAGAUCAAGUGUAGUAUCUGUUCUUUUCAGUUUAAUCUCUGAAACUGCUCUUACGGGGGCAGAAUCGUGAUCACACCUAUUUUUGCAAUUUGGUCGGCGACCCUCUGGGCUUGCUCAUGGUCGCUGUCCACCGUGUCCCUGGCAUUACACUGCCUCCAGGCGAUGCGAACUGCA
rfam:Neurospora crassa OR74A linkage group IV, whole genome shotgun sequence.